rnacentral:rRNA from 1 species
UGGGGAAUCUUGGACAAUGGGGGCAACCCUGAUCCAGCCAUGCCGCGUGAGCGAUGACGGCCUUAGGGUUGUAAAGCUCUUUCACCGGUGCCGAUAAUGACGGUAGCCGGAGAAGAAGCCCCGGCUAACUCCGUGCCAGCAGCCGGGGUAAUACGGAGGGGGCUAGCGUUGUUCGGAAUUACUGGGCGUAAUGCGCGCGUAGGCGGUCCGUUAAGUCGGGGGUGAAAUCCCGGGGCUCAACCCCGGAACUGCCUUCGAUACUGGCGGUCUUGAGGUCGAGAGAGGCGAGUGGAAUUCCGAGUGUAGAGGUGAAAUUCGUAGAUAUUCGGAGGAACACCAGUGGCGAAGGCGGCUCGCUGGCUCGAUACUGACGCUGAGGUGCGAAAGCGUGGGGAGCAAACAGGAUUAGAUACCCGCGUAGUCC